rnacentral:rRNA from 1 species
CGAAUGCUGACAUAAGUAACGAUAAAGCGGGUGAAAAGCCCGCUCGCCGGAAGACCAAGGGUUCCUGUCCAACGUUAAUCGGGGCAGGGUGAGUCGACCCCUAAGGCGAGGCCGAAAGGCGUAGUCGAUGGGAAACAGGUUAAUAUUCCUGUACUUGGUGUUACUGCGAAGGGGGGACGGAGAAGGCUAUGUUGGCCGGGCGACGGUUGUCCCGGUUUAAGCGUGUAGGCUGGUUUUCCAGGCAAAUCCGGAAAAUCAAGGCUGAGGCGUGAUGACGAGGCACUACGGUGCUGAAGCAACAAAUGCCCUGCUUCCAGGAAAAGCCUCUAAGCAUCAGGUAACAUCAAAUCGUACCCCAAACCGACACAGGUGGUCAGGUAGAGAAUACCAAGGCGCUUGAGAGAACUCGGGUGAAGGAACUAGGCAAAAUGGUGCCGUAACUUCGGGAGAAGGCACGCUGAUAUGUAGGUGAAGUCCCUCGCGGAUGGAGCUGAAAUCAGUCGAAGAUACCAGCUGGCUGCAACUGUUUAUUAAAAACACAGCACUGUGCAAACACGAAAGUGGACGUAUACGGUGUGACGCCUGCCCGGUGCCGGAAGGUUAAUUGAUGGGGUCAGCGCAAGCGAAGCUCUUGAUCGAAGCCCCGGUAAACGGCGGCCGUAACUAUAACGGUCCUAAGGUAGCGAAAUUCCUUGUCGGGUAAGUUCCGACCUGCACGAAUGGCGUAAUGAUGGCCAGGCUGUCUCCACCCGAGACUCAGUGAAAUUGAACUCGCUGUGAAGAUGCAGUGUACCCGCGGCAAGACGGAAAGACCCCGUGAACCUUUACUAUAGCUUGACACUGAACAUUGAGCCUUGAUGUGUAGGAUAGGUGGGAGGCUUUGAAGUGUGGACGCCAGUCUGCAUGGAGCCGACCUUGAAAUACCACCCUUUAAUGUUUGAUGUUCUAACGUGGACCCGUGAUCCGGGUUGCGGACAGUGUCUGGUGGGUAGUUUGACUGGGGCGGUCUCCUCCUAAAGAGUAACGGAGGAGCACGAAGGUUGGCUAAUCCUGGUCGGACAUCAGGAGGUUAGUGCAAUGGCAUAAGCCAGCUUGACUGCGAGCGUGACGGCGCGAGCAGGUGCGAAAGCAGGUCAUAGUGAUCCGGUGGUUCUGAAUGGAAGGGCCAUCGCUCAACGGAUAAAAGGUACUCCGGGGAUAACAGGCUGAUACCGCCCAAGAGUUCAUAUCGACGGCGGUGUUUGGCACCUCGAUGUCGGCUCAUCACAUCCUGGGGCUGAAGUAGGUCCCAAGGGUAUGGCUGUUCGCCAUUUAAAGUGGUACGCGAGCUGGGUUUAGAACGUCGUGAGACAGUUCGGUCCCUAUCUGCCGUGGGCGCUGGAGAACUGAGGGGGGCUGCUCCUAGUACGAGAGGACCGGAGUGGACGCAUCACUGGUGUUCGGGUUGUCAUGCCAAUGGCACUGCCCGGUAGCUAAAUGCGGAAGAGAUAAGUGCUGAAAGCAUCUAAGCACGAAACUUGCCCCGAGAUGAGUUCUCCCUGACCCUUUAAGGGUCCUGAAGGAACGUUGAAGACGACGACGUUGAUAGGC